rnacentral:tRNA from 1 species
GGACCUGUAGCGCAGUCUGGAUAGCGCGGCAGCCCCCUAAGCUGUAGGUCGGGAGUUCGAAUCUCCCCAGGUCCG